AUCACAUUGAUACAGGGUUCCUGUACGAUCACCAAAGUUAAGCAACAUCGAUACUGGUCAGUACCUAGAUGGGUGACCUCUUGGGAAUACCAGGUGCUA